rnacentral:lncRNA from 1 species
AGCCUGUUUUCCUCUUUCACUUCCGAUUUUGGAUCAAUGCUAGAGGCUGCAAAACUAACCCAAGGAAGGAAAAAGCCUUUGAUUAGCCAAUCUGAGUGAUAAAGGAAAGUAUUGAGCAGAAAGUGCCGUCAAUGAGCUACUCAAUGCAACAAUUAGAAGGUGUGCCUGGAAUAUUUCUCUUUAAAGAAUCUUUCCAAUGCUGCUGGCAAUGUAAAUGGUCAUACAGCUGAAGUUUUGCUCAGAUGGGGAAUCCCACUGUUCUGUGAGCAUGACGUGAGAAUAAAACCCGAGUAGGUUGAUUCAAAGUGCCAACAUGAUAGGGUGUUUUCAAGCAUGGGAGCGUCUAAACCAGACAUAUGGUCUGAUUUUGGGGUGGUCCUGUGUGGAGCCGGGAGUUGGAUCCUUACUGGACUCUUCCACGUUGGGAUAUUCUGUGAUUCUGUGUGGUGGUUCAACAGGUGACUCUGAGCUACUCCAUGGAAACCAGUGGCCACGGAAAAGAGAACACAGUUAAUACCCCCUUGGCAUGAAGGUGAAAUUACGGUAA